rnacentral:rRNA from 1 species
CCUACGGGGGGCAGCAGUGGGGAAUAUUGGGCAAUGGAGGCAACUCUGACCCAGCAAUGCCGCGUGAAUGAAGAAGGUCUUCGGAUUGUAAAGUUCUUUAAUCAGGGACGAAGGAAAUGACGGUACCUGAGGAAUAAGCCACGGCAAACUAUGUGCCAGCAGCCGCGGUAAUACAUAGGUGGCAAGCGUUGUCCGGAAUGACUGGGCGUAAAGGGAGCGUAGGCGGUCUGUUAAGUUGGAAGUGAAAUCCCGGGGCUCAACCCCGGAACUGCUUUCAAGACUGACGGACUUGAGUGUAAGAGGGGUAAGCGGAAUUCCUAGUGUAGCGGUGAAAUGCUUAGAUAUUGCGCAGAACUCCGAUUGCGAAGGCAGCAUACCGGCGGCGAUCUGACGCUGAGGCACGAAAGCGUGGGUAUCGAACAGGAUUAGAUACCCGGGUAGUC